rnacentral:lncRNA from 1 species
GCGGAGGUGCCAGACCCCAUCUGGGUACAGUACCUCUGAGUUUACCUCCGGAAAUAGAAUUAUGUGUACUGAGUUUAUAUGCACAAUCCACCACUAACUCCUCAACAUGUGAAUCCUGGAAGAAGAUUUACCCAAUCACUCACGGACAUGUGAAACCACCCGAUGGAGUCACCAUCUACCCAGGUAAUUACACAUGCUAUUCAAUACCAGAAAACACUGGUUUGUAUCUGGGCAAAUUCCCAUCAGGAUACUGCUCAACUUACCAUAGUCCACCUGUAUCACUGCUAAUGAAUCACACAAAGACAAUCGGUGAUAUCUAUUGGUUAUGUGGUGACAAACAAUUAAGGCCCCAAUUAGCUGGCCAAUGGUGGGGGGAAUGUGCCCUAACCAAAGUCAUAAUGCCUAUCCACAUCAUUCCAGAUGGUGACCAUAACACGCUUAACCUCACACAUAUACACUCUAGAACCAAACGAGAGACCCCUAUUCGAGGGAGUUUCGACCCCCAUGUGUAUAUUGAUGCCAUAGGAGUGCCAAGGGGGGUGCCUAACGAAUUUAAAGCAAGAGAUGAAGUGGCUGCAGGGUUUGAGUCCCUAAUCCCAAUGAUAACUGCUAACAAGAAUGUCAAUUGGAUUAACUAUAUCUAUUAUAAUCAGCAACGCUUUGUCAACUACACAAGGGAUGCCCUACAGGGCCUGGCAGAGCAACUACAAGCCACUACCCAAAUGACAUUUCAGAACAGAAUGGCCCUAGAUAUGAUUCUAGCCGAAAAAGGGGGAGUAUGUAAAAUCCUCCCUGAGACCAUGACAUGCUGCACAUACAUUCCAGACAACACGGGGCCCAAUGGUAAAGUGACUAUGGCCAUAGAAAAGCUAGAUAGUCUUGCAGACGAAUUAAAGAAGAAUUCGGGAGCCACUGACAUAUGGGACAAAUGGUUUGGGUGGAUGAAUGGCUGGCAAAAGACCCUCUUUCAGGUAGGGACAGCUGUUCUCAUGGUAUUCAUUAUCUUUUUGUUCUCAGCCUGUUGUAUACUCCCCUGUAUACAGAAAUAUCUGCAGAAAGCGGUAGAUAAGACUGUAGAUAAUGUGACCCCUACCUUCAUACAUCAGGAUAUCACAGACCUUGAAGAUGACACCCCACAUACACCCCUACAAACACAUCAGUUUAAACAGACAACUGCUUUUUUGUAGGGAUAGAGUAGGGAAAGCGUCUGUCUUGACAGGUGAGUCUCACGUGUGGAGAUGUAGUGGGUUAGCCACUGCGGGAUACCCGCGGAGUGAAGUGUUCGAUGCUUGUCAAGGCAGAUAGGUUGCAGGCAACUAGGGACAUAUUAGGGACAGCAGCAGUUGUAAUGGUAAAUAGCCAUUUUAGGGGGGACUGUUGUGGAAAUAAGGUCUACACAUAUUUCCUGGUUAAAGGAAAAUGUCUAUUUACUCAUUUUACAAUAUAUAUAUAUAUCACAUAUAAAGCUAAGUACACAUAUUUCAAUCAAGAUGGCUGCUAGAAGCUUCUAACCCCUCCUUCCCCUCCCUUUUUAAACAUCGACUAACUACCUCGUGUAACAAGAUGGCGCCGGAAAACCGUGGGAGACCCUCAUGGUCCCGGUGACAUCACCUGCAGUAGGCAGAGCAUUAGAACAACCACUUAACACCUAACCAAUUAUUGAUGUAUUAUUCCAUGUUAUCUCUGACAAUGCAUAUGAUGUAAUUUUGCUUUAAAAGGGACUUGCCGUCCCCUCUGAAUAAACUUUCCUCAAGUUAUUCA